UCCCCUUCUUUUCAAUCUGGGAGGCUGAAAUUUGACAGACACAUCAUGGCAAAGUUGUGCAGCAGCGAUACAAGUAGAUGCUGAAGAAAAGGGAGGAAUCUGAGCGCAGGAUAAAAUGCUCAAGAAAAUCCCAUUGGUGGAAUGUUUGUGAGAGAAAAAAAAGGAAUGGAUUGUGCCAGUUUCUGCAUAUGUCCCUGUAAAUACGGAUGC
rnacentral:lncRNA from 1 species